rnacentral:rRNA from 1 species
AGUCGAGCGGACCGACGGGAGCUUGCUCCCUUAGGUCAGCGGCGGACGGGUGAGUAACACGUGGGUAACCUGCCUGUAAGACUGGGAUAACUCCGGGAAACCGGGGCUAAUACCGGAUGCUUGAUUGAACCGCAUGGUUCAAUCAUAAAAGGUGGCUUUCAGCUACCACUUACAGAUGGACCCGCGGCGCAUUAGCUAGUUGGUGAGGUAACGGCUCACCAAGGCGACGAUGCGUAGCCGACCUGAGAGGGUGAUCGGCCACACUGGGACUGAGACACGGCCCAGACUCCUACGGGAGGCAGCAGUAGGGAAUCUUCCGCAAUGGACGAAAGUCUGACGGAGCAACGCCGCGUGAGUGAUGAAGGUUUUCGGAUCGUAAAACUCUGUAGUUAGGGAAGAACAAGUACCGUUCGAAUAGGGCGGCACCUUGACGGUACCUAACCAGAAAGCCACGGCUAACUACGUGCCAGCAGCCGCGGUCAUACGUAGGUGGCAAGCGU